CAGCCCCGUGUGGGUGAGAGCCAAUGCCUGCAAGGUGAAGGCUGCGCGGGGUGGGGGCGACGCGACUGCCGCCCGCCCACCCGCAGGCCACGGCGGAGUUGCACCGCGGGGCGGGGCUCGGAGAGCCCAGCGACGUGGAUGGGGCAGCUAGGGGCAGCAGCGUGGACGCGGACCCUCAGUCCUCAGGCAGUCCUUCAGCUCCUACUUAAUGGAAGCCUCGCAGAUGCAAGAUGGCUCCAGCAGGCCCAGCAUCACUUCUUCUCAGUGUCCCAAAGCCAGGAGAGAGGCUGUUGUUUUUAAAAGCAGGAAAACUUUCCUAAACUUGGCCAG